rnacentral:lncRNA from 1 species
GAAUUUUCAGAGGGGAACAUGAAGGCACUUGGGUAUCACAGGAUCCUGUCAGAAACUGGAAUGAUGUCUGGAAGGGGAUCAGGGCUGAAGAGUGUGGUCUUUAGGGUUGGAUUUUAACACCAUGGACUUACUGUGUCACUUAAGCCAGCUGCUCUGUUGUGAGCUGCCCUACGGAGAGAACUACUUGCCAGGGAACUGAGGGUAGCCUACACCUGACAGUCUACAAGGAACUGAAUCCUGACAUUACCACACCAGGGAGUGUGGAAGUGGAUUCUCCCCAAGUUGAGCCUUCAGAUGACUGCAUCACAGCCAGGACCUUCACUGCAGCCUUUGAGAGGCCUUGAGACAGAGCACCCAGUUAAGCCAUGCCAAGAUUCCUGACACUCCGAAACUGUGAGAUGAUGAAUGUUUGUUGUCUUAAGCCACUAAGUGUGGGAAUAAUGUGUUAUGUAGCAAUCAAUAACAAAUACACCAGAUCAUGCCAAUAAGAUGCAGUAGACAUUGAUGAGUGCCUAUGGACAAGAAAAGUAAAUAACUGACAUUAACAUUUCACCCUAUACUUUCCAGAGCACUUUAACAGAUCUGCUCAUUUCAGUCUCAUAUUCAGUACUAUUGACCUUCCACAGGGUAUGGGGAUAAUAUCCCCAUUUCUCAGAUAAAGAGAAGAAGCUCAGAGAAGUUGAGUGAUAUUCCAGAGAGGUUAAGUGACACCACUAGUAAGUAUGAGGCUAGGAAAUUCGGGUCUGUCUGACACCCAGUCUUUCCAAGCAAGUGUUCUUUCCGUUAAAUAAUAUCACCUGAAAGUGCUACUGUGAACCAUGGUUGAACUGACAGCUUAGACUUAGGGAAAGCAAAGUCAGAGCACCAAAAGAAAAGAUUUCUAAAAUGUCAAUACUUCAGAAAUGCAUUGAGUCCUAAAACAAUGAAGGAAAGGGUAGUCUUUUCAGGAAAUGGUGCUGAAACAAGUGGGUAUCCACAGACAAAAGGAUGAAGUUGUACCUUCCUUACACCAUUCCAAAAAAAAAAAAAUUUAACUCAAAAUGGAUUGUAGACCUAAAUGUAAGCACUAAAACUAUGAAACUCUUAGAUGAAAUCAUAGGAGAAAAUCUCCAUGACCUUAAAUUAGACAGUGGUUUGUGUCUUAGCUAUGACACCAAAAAUACAAGCAGCAGCAACAACAAAAAUAGAUAAACCUGACACAUCAAAAUCAAAAGCUUUUGUGCUAAAAAUAAUACCAUCAAGAAAGUAAAAAUGGCAUUCACAGAUGGGAAAUAUUUGAAGAUUGUACAUCUGAUAAAGGACUAGUAUCCAGAAUAUAUAAAGAAUUCUAGCAACUCAAAAGUUAGAAGAAAAUCUAAUUUUUCAAAUGGGCAAAGGAUUUAAAUAGACACUUCUCUAAAGAAGAUAUGCAAAUGGCCAAUGAACACAUGAAAAAAUGCUCAAAAUUAUUAGCCAUUAGAGAAAUGCAAAUUGAAACCACAGUGAGAUGGCACUUUACCCCACCCCCACUAGGAGGCCUAAAAAGAUAGGCAAUAACAAGGAUGUGAAGAACUCUGAACCCUCAUACACUGUUAGCUGUAAGGUAAAAUGGUGAAACCACUCUGGAAAACAGUUAAGCACUUUCUCGAACAUUAAACACAGAUUUAUCAUAAGACCCAGAAAUUAUUCUAGGUAUAUACUGACAAAAAAUAAAAACAUGUUCACAAAAAAACUUGUACGGGAAUAUUCAUAGCAUCAUUAUUCAUAAUAGCCAAAAGGCAAAAACAACACAAAUGUUCAUCAACUGAUAAAUGGGUAAAUAGAAUGUGAAAUAUAUAUACAAUAGAAUAUUAUUUCUCAAUAAAAAGGAAUGGAGGGCUUAUACAUGCUACAACAUGAAUGAACUCUGAAAAUACUGUACUAAAUGAAAAGUCAAAAAAAAAGACCACAUAUUGUAUGAUUCCAUUUAUAUAAAGUGUCCAGAAGAGACAAAUCUAUAGAGACACAAAGUCAAUGAAUUGCUGCUAGGAGAAGAGAAUGAGAGUAAUUGUUAAUGGAUGUGAGCUUUCUUUUUGGGGCGAUAAAAGUGUUCUAAACUUAGUGAUAAUGAUUGUGCAAAGCUGUAAAUAUACAAAAACCAUUGAUUCUUAUGGUUUAAAAAGGUAAAUUUUGAGGUAUGUGAAUUAUAUCUCAAAGCUUUUUUAAUGCAUUGAGAGAACUGUACAUUUAAAAAUGAAUAAGAUGGUAAAUUUUAUGUUGUAUGUAUUUUACCACAAUAAAAAAUUAAUUGAGAUAGAUAGAUAGAUGGAUAGAUACACAGACAGACAGAUAGAUAGAUAGAUAGAUAGAUAGAUAGAUAGAUAGAUAGAUAGAUAGAUAAAGGUAGAUACUUUCCUCCUCUAAGAAGUAGAUCUUAAAUCUCUUUCCCUUGAGUAUGGGCUGGACUUAGUGACUCCUUCCAAAGAAUAAAGUAUGAAAAGGAAAAGUAUUAACCUUACAGUGGAGAAACCUAGCAAAUACUACCUUAAGCAAGUGGUGAAGGUUAGCAUCACCAAUGACAAAUCAUGGUGAUAUCAUAAACUCCUGAUAUGAAGUGAUGAGAAGGGCAUCUCACCUCUGUAAUAUUCCCCCUCUCCCUAGACAAACCAUAACUCCAGUCUAAACAUCAGACAAACCCACAGGAAAUUCUGCAAAAUACCUGACCAGUAUUCCUCAAAAUUGUCAAGGUCACACAAAACAUGAGAAGUCUGAGAAACUGUUAUAGAUUGGAGGCAUAAGAGACAUGACAAUUAAAUGUACUGCAAAAAUUUGUAUUCUACAUUAGUGGGGAAACAGUGAAAUGCUAAUAAAGUCUGGAGGUUAGUUAAUAGUAACUGUAGCAAUGUUAGUUUCUUAGAUGUAACAAAUGUCUCAUGGUUCUGUAAAAUGUUAACAUUAGGGGAAGCUGGAUGAAGGGCAUACAGGAACUCUCUGUACUAUCUUUGUAAGUUUUCUGUAAAUUUAAAAUUAUUUCAAAAUAAAUAAAUUUAAAUUUAAUUUUAUUUUAGAUUCAGGGAUUACAUGUGCAUGUUUGUUAUGUGGGUAUAUUUUGUAGUGGUGGGGAUUGGGCUUUUAGUAUACCCAUUAACCAAAUAGUAAACAUUGUACCUGAUAAGUAACUCUUCAACCCUGACCCUCCUCUGACUCUCCCCACUUUUGAAGUGAAAAUGAAAAGUUUGCUUAAUGAGUAAAAAC